rnacentral:lncRNA from 1 species
CCCAGUGAUGGGAAAUGUAGUCCCAGACAGUCAGUGCGGAUUGUUACUCCGUGCGCUGUGGCUCCCAGUGAUGGGAAAUGUAGUCCCAGACAGUCAGUGCGGAUUGUUACUCCAAGCGCUAUGGCUCCCAGUGAUGGGAAAUGUAGUCACAGACAGUCAGUGCGGAUUGUUACUCCGUGCGCUAUGGCUCCCAGUGAUGGGAAAUGUAGUCCCAGACAGUCAGUGCGGAUUGAUACUCCGUGCGCUGUGGCUCCCAGUGAUGGGAAAUGUAGUCCCAGACAGUCAGUGCUGAUUGAUACUCCAGGUGCUCUGGCUCCCAGUGAUGGGAAAUGUAGUCCCAGACAGUCAGUGCGGAUUGUUACUCCAUGCGCUGUGGCUCCCAGUGAUGGGAAAUGUAGUCCCAGACAGUGCGGAUUGAUACUCCGUGCGCUAUGGCUCCCAGUGAUGGGAAAUGUAGUCCCAGACAGUCAGUGCGGAUUGUUACUCCGUGCGCUAUGGCUCCCAGUGAUGGGAAAUGUAGUCCCAGUCAGUCAGUGCGGAUUGAUACUCCGUGCGCAAUGGCUCUCAGUGAUGGGAAAUGUAGUCCCAGUCAGUCAGUGCGGAUUGAUACUCCGUGCGCUGUGGCUCUCAGUGAUGGGAAAUGUAGUCCCAGACAGUCAGUGCGGAUUGAUACUCCGUGCGCUGUGGCUCUCAGUGAUGGGAAAUGUAGUCCCAGACAGUCAGUGCGGAUUGAUACUCCAGGUGCUAUGGCUCCCAGUGAUGGGAAAUGUAGUCCCAGUCAGUCAGUGCGGAUUGUUACUCCAUGUGCUAUGGCUCCCAGUGAUGGGAAAUGUAGUCCCAGACAGUCAGUGCGGGUUGUUACUCCAUGUGCUAUGGCUCCCAGUGAUGGGAAAUGUAGUCCCAGACAGUCAGUGCGGAUUGUUACUCCAUGUGCUAUGGCUCCCAGUGAUGGGAAAUGUAGUCCCAGACAGUCAGUGCGGAUUGUUACUCCAUGCGCUAUGGCUCCCAGUGAUGGGAAAUGUAGUCCCAGACAGUCAGUGCGGAUUGAUACUCCAGGUGCUAUGGCUCCCAGUGAUGGGAAAUGUAGUCCCAGACAGUCAGUGCGGAUUGUUACUCCGUGCGCUAUGGCUCCCAGUGAUGGGAAAUGUAGUCCCAGUCAGUCAGUGCGGAUUGAUACUCCGUGCGCUAUGGCUCUCAGUGAUGGGAAAUGUAGUCCCAGUCAGUCAGUGCGGAUUGAUACUCCGUGCGCUGUGGCUCUCAGUGAUGGGAAAUGUAGUCUCAGACAGUCAGUGCGGAUUGAUACUCCGUGCGCUGUGGCUCUCAGUGAUGGGAAAUGUAGUCCCAGACAGUCAGUGCGGAUUGAUACUCCAGGUGCUAUGGCUCCCAGUGAUGGGAAAUGUAGUCCCAGACAGUCAGUGCGGAUUGUUACUCCAUGUGCUAUGGCUCCCAGUGAUGGGAAAUGUAGUCCCAGACAGUCAGUGCGGAUUGUUACUCCAGGUGCUGUGGCUCCCAGUGAUGGGAAAUGUAGUCCCAGACAGUCAGUGCGGAUUGUUACUCCGUGCGCUGUGGCUCCCAGUGAUGGGAAAUGUAGUCCCAGACAGUCAGUGCGGAUUGAUACCCCAGGUGCUAUGGCUCCCAGUGAUGGGAAAUGUAGUCCCAGACAGUCAGUGCGGAUUGUUACUCCAGGUGCUGUGGCUCCCAGUGAUGGGAAAUGUAGUCCCAGACAGUCAGUGCGGAUUGUUACUCCGUGCGCUAUGGCUCCCAGUGAUGGGAAAUGUAGUCCCAG